rnacentral:rRNA from 1 species
AGAGCGAACGCUGGCGGCAGGCCUAAUACAUGCAAGUCGAACGGAUCCUUCGGGAUUAGUGGCGGACGGGUGAGUAACACGUGGGAACGUGCCUUUUGGUUCGGAAUAAUCCGGGGAAACCUGGCCUAAUACCGAAUGUGCCCCCUCCUUUAACCAGGGGGGUGGGAAAGAUUUAUCGCCAUUAGAGCGGCCCGCGUCUGAUUAGCUAGUUGGUGAGGUAAUGGCCCACCAAGGCUACGAUCAGUAGCUGGUCUGAGAGGAUGAUCAGCCACACUGGGACUGAGACACGGCCCAGACUCCUACGGGAGGCAGCAGUAGGGAAUCUUGCGCAAUGGGCGAAAAGCCUGACGCAGCCAUGCCGCGUGAAUGAUGAAGGUCUUAGGAUUGUAAAAUUCUUUCAGCGGGAAGAUAAUGACUGUACCCGCAGAAGAAGCUCCGGCUAACUUCGUGCCAGCAGCCGC